rnacentral:tRNA from 1 species
UGCGAGGUCGUCUAACUGGCAGGACAUGGGACUUUGGAUCCCACAGUGGAGGUUCGAGUCCUCCCCUCGCAG